rnacentral:rRNA from 1 species
UACGUAGGGUGCGAGCGUUGUCCGGAAUUAUUGGGCGUAAAGAGCUUGUAGGCGGUUUGUCGCGUCUGCUGUGAAAUCUCAAGGCUCAACCUUGAGCUUGCAGUGGGUACGGGCAGACUAGAGUGUGGUAGGGGAGACUGGAAUUCCUGGUGUAGCGGUGAAAUGCCCAGAUAUCAGGAGGAACACCGAUGGCGAAGGCAGGUCUCUGGGCCACUACUGACGCUGAGAAGCGAAAGCAUGGGGAGCGAACAGG